GCCAUCCUUUCCCUGUUGAAUUGCUUUGAUAAUUUUGUCAACAGUCAAUUGUUCAUGUCAGUGUGGGUCUACUUCUGAGCUCCACUCAUCUAUUUGUCUAUUCUUAGGUCAAUACCACACUAUUUAAAUAGCUAGCUUUACAGUAAAACUUGAUGUUAGGUAGUGUAAGCUCUCCAACUUUUUCUUCUUUUCCUAAAUUGUUUUGCCUAUUCUAAGUCUCUACAUUUCCAAAUUUUAAAAUUCAUUUGUCAAUUUAUAUUUGUUUUAAAUGAAAGCCUAUUGGGAUUGUGUUGAAGCCAUACUUCAGCUUAGGGGGAACUGACAUAUUAAUACUGAGUUGUCCAAUCCAUGAACAUAGUAUAUCUUUCCAUGUAUUUACAUCUUCUUUAAUUUCUCUCAGCAUCAUCUUGUGUUUUCAGUAUUGAUAUUGAAUAUUUCCCAUCUUUUAUUAAUCUGUUGCUAAUUAUCUUAUGUUUUUUGACACUAUUGUAAAUGGAAUUGGUUUUUUAAAUAUCAGUUCCCAAAUGUUUGGUGCUACUAUAUGAAAAUACAAUUGAUUUUUGUAUCUUGACCUUUCUUCAGAAGUGUUUUAAUGGGAUCUGAAAGAAGAAGUGAGAGAGGUUUAAUGAAUCAGCCUGUACCUGAACAGGAAGAGAGAAAAUGAACAGAAAGGGAACUGACAUGCAUCGAGUUCUCUAUCUGCAAAGCACUCUGCUGGAAAUUUUUCAUACUUAAUUUUCACAGCAACCCUGUGAAGUUGGUUGUUAUCCAUGUUUUACAGAUAAGGAAAGGAAGUGCUCCAGGACCCCACAGGUAGCAAGUGGCAGCCAGGAUUCAACCAGAGCUUUUGAGCCCUAAACCCUGCAUUCCUCUCGGUAUACAGCGCUGCCACGAUGCCGCAGAGCAAUAGCAUGUCAAGUGCUCGCAGGAUGGAUGCAUAAAGAGGUGGCAGCUUACAUCAAAGCCAGGUGACCUCCCGUCCAGCUCCUGCAGCCAGGAGGUGUGAGAUCCCUGGUGGGCACAUAGAGCUAAAGUUCUCCCACCUGUUCUUUCUAGGGCUUAAGCUGCCAUGAGCCAAUAGGCAUGGAUGGAUGUGAUAUCCACAGCAUGGUGAGCCAUGGGCAACAGGGGCAUGACCUAGUCCUGACCACACUGGGCCAGCACCAGGCCGGCCAUGCCUCCCCAGAGCCUCCCUGGUCUGGGAAGUUUGUGGGCAGGAUAGCAGAGCUGUGAGGAUCAGUUCCACCUUGCAGAUGAAAGAGUACCCUGAGGCCCAGACAGAACCCAAGUGCUGAGCCCGAGAAGCGAAAAUCAGCACUUGGGCUUUGUUCCCCAAACCUCUCCUAACAUGAGCAUCACCGGGGGCAAUUUUUCUAAAGCAGAUUCCCAGAUAACUUCCCCAGAGUUUCUGAUUCAGUAGGUCUGAGAUGCGGCUCAGGAAUCUGUGCUCUAAGCUGCCGAGUGAUUCUUCCAAUCAGGAUAUUCUGAGAAACAUGAAGUUACUGCUUCCUUAAGGGAUUAGGGAAAAACCUGCAGAUUGGAUGGGAAUGAAACAGACCUCCUACCAGAAGUGAGGUAAAGGUCGAAGCCUGUGCUCAGGCAAGCGAGCUGCGUGAGUACCUAAAAUGUGUAGGGGAUUCCCUCUUCGAUGAGUAAAACGGCCAGAGCUCGGCUCUUAGGAAGGUUAACUCCUGAAAUGUUGGGUGGGGUCAGGGAGGGACGCCAUGGAGAAAAGGGCUUGGCUAUGACUCUCAAAGCCUUCAAAGGAAAAUGCCCCCCUCUGGCUCCCCAGGAUAUGGCAGCACAAGACGUCCAGUGGGUAACUGGAAAGAAACCGUCCCAGGGCUCGUCACAAAUCACUGCCCAACCAAUGAAUCACAGGUUAUCUAGACAGGCUGAAUUCACCACCUUUGCCCAUUGGCCGCUUAGGUGCUGAGGCCGCAGGAUCUGCCAGCACAGGACCAUCAGUUCCCUCCCGUGCCUUAUUUACAUUUCAUUUUAUUAUUUUUUUAAAUUUUAUUUUAGAGACAUGGGGACUUGUGUCGCGCAGGCUGGAGUGCGGUGGCACAAUCACAGCUCACUGCAGCCUCCACCUCCUGAGCUCAAGAGAGCCUCCCACCUCAGCCUCCUGAGUAGCUAGAUUACAGGCACGUGUCACCACCCCUGGCUAAUUUUCUUUUAAUCUUUUGAGGCUGAUGUUCUGGUACGUGGGAAAGGAGAGGGAAAGGGGCUGCAGAAGAGAAUGAGAGAAAGGGAGGAAGGAAUUGAAGACAUUCAAGUGUGAGUGGGGAAAUGCAUAAAAGAGAAAAGGCUACGCAGGGCCAAGUGGACCCCUGAAAACACAGACACAGAGCAGGCACAUGCUGGUGGUGCAUGGCAGGGCGCUGUGCUGGGGGCUGUCCCGGCCUGGAGAGGGGCAGAGGGAUUGCAGUUGACAUGUCAACAAUCGCUCCUGAAUGGCAAGCCCGAGCCCUCCCCUCCACUCCUUCACUCCUGAAGUCCGGUCAAGAGGCUCCAGGCUCUUUUUUGUUACCUUUUUCCGCACCACUGGUUGCCCUGGCAACAGCCGCAGCUGGCCCGUCUCCCAAAUCACAAGCUGUAAUGAGAAUCUCAGGCAGGUUUGUUCUGCUCUGCUGGCUCGCAGACAAUAGGUGGAACGCUGGCCCACAGCUGUGGUUUCAGAACCUGUCCCCGAGGAUGCCCCGCAAGUAAGGGGAGGGAACAGGGUCUGGGAGGAAAGGUGAGAAAGGGCUCAGCUAAGAGAGAAGGCAGCGGAGGAAACAGGAAUGUCCUGGAACUUCCCUACCACCACCUCUGGGACAAACCGGCUGGAUGGGAGUGCACAGUGGAUGGAUCCAUAGCUGAAUACACAGCAGCACCUAAAGGAAGUGUCUGCCCAGCCCCCAGCCUGCGCCUGCGCCUCCACUGUUCUCACCCAGCGGCUUCAGUGAAAACACGCUGUCCAGAUCCACAAAUGACCCAAAGCUUCCAGGGAGAGCAAAUGUGCUGCAGGCGACAGAGCUGGUAUUCAUAAAAGAGACCAUAUUCGAUUGGAACAGUGGGCGGAAACUAAUAAUUUUGAGAAAGAUAUAGGAAAAGUUGGCUGAACAGAAAUUGUCUCGAGAGGCCGGGCGCGGUAGCUCAGGCCUGUAAUCCUAGCACUUUGGAAGGCUGAGGCAGGUGGAUCACUUGAGGUUAGGAGUUUGAAACCAGCCUGACCGACAUGGUAGAACCCCGUCUGUACUAAAAAUACAAAAACAAAUGGCCAGGCAUGGUGGCGGGCACCUGUAAUCCCAGCUACUUGGGAGGCUGAGGCAGGAGAAUUGUUUGAACCCAGGAGGUGGAGGUUGCAGUGAGCCAAGAUCACGCCACUUCACUCCAGCCAGAGCGAGACUCCGUCUCAAAAAAAAAAAAAGAAAAGAAAAAAGAAAUUGUCUCGAGAGUCCAAAUCACUCGCAAGCUCAGUGCACAUCAACAGGGACGCAGCAGCUUAGAACACAGACGCAAGCGGGAGGCACGUGUGCCAGUGUGUCACUGCAGCCCAUUCUUUGCCUGGUGGCUGAGCACCCCUCAGCUGUGGGAGAUGAGUGAGCCGGAGCAGGGCUAGCAGC
rnacentral:lncRNA from 10 species